rnacentral:rRNA from 1 species
GAGACGGCUCAUAGUUCUAAGGAAGGCAGCAGGCGCGGAAAUUGCCCAAUGUACCGUUGUGUACGAGGCCGUGACGAGGCGUCGUGAGUCACUUAGGUGACAUUACGAUGAGUGAGGUGUACAGACCCUCGCAAAUGCAAGUCGUGGGAAAGCAUGGUGCCAGCAGCCGCGGUAAUUCCAUCAUGACUAACUCAUUCUUACGGUGCUGCAGUUAAAGCGUCCGUAGCUGGCGGCCUGCCGACUCGAGGAACUCUCGACGCCCAACGUAGCGAGCGCGGUGAGCUGCAGCGAGUUACGGCAACAACAACUAUCGCUAUAGGACAGGGGAAGGCUCCUUCUAUUAUAGGGGGACAGGUGAAAUAGGAUGAUGCCUAUAGGAGGAACAAGUGCGCAGGCACUGAGUCGUCCCCGGUUCGUCGGUCAAAGGCGUUAUCGUGGGGCUAGACGAUGAUUAGAGACCGUUUUACUCCACGUCGUAAACGAUGCUACCUCGCUGUG